rnacentral:rRNA from 1 species
UACGAAGGGGGCUAGCGUUGCUCGGAAUCACUGGGCGUAAAGGGUGCGUAGGCGGGUCUUUAAGUCAGGGGUGAAAUCCUGGAGCUCAACUCCAGAACUGCCUUUGAUACUGAGGAUCUCGAGUCCGGGAGAGGUGAGUGGAACUCCGAGUGUAGAGGUGAAAUUCGUAGAUAUUCGGAAGAACACCAGUGGCGAAGGCGGCUCACUGGCCCGGUACUGACGCUGAGGUGCGAAAGCGU